UAAAACUUAGUUUAAUAGAAUAGAGAGUUUGGAACUCUAAGGUAAACGUUUUGU
rnacentral:tRNA from 1 species